GUGGGGAAUAUUGGGCAAUGGGGGAAACCCUGACCCAGCAACGCCGCGUGAAGGAAGAAGGCUUUCGGGUUGUAAACUUCUUUUACCAGGGAAAAACACAAUGAUGGUACCUGGAGAAAAAGCUACGGCUAACUACGUGCCAGCAGCCGCGGUAAUACGUAGGUGGCAAGCGUUGUCCGGAAUUACUGGGUGUAAAGGGCGUGUAGGCGGAACUACAAGUCAGGGGUGAAAACUAUGGGCUUAACCCAUAGCCUGCCUUUGAAACUGUAGUCAUUGAGUGCUGGAGAGGCAAUUGGAAUUCCUAGUGUAGCGGUGAAAUGCGUAGAUAUUAGGAGGAACACCAGUGGCGAAGGCGGCUUUCUGGACUGUAACUGACGCUGAUGCACGAAAGCGUGGGGAGCAAACAGGAUUAGAUACCCGAGUAGUCC
rnacentral:rRNA from 1 species